AACGAACGCUGGCGGCAUGCCUAACACAUGCAAGUCGAACGAUGCUUUCGGGCAUAGUGGCGCACGGGUGCGUAACGCGUGGGAAUCUGCCCUUAGGUUCGGAAUAACAGUUAGAAAUGACUGCUAAUACCGGAUGAUGACGUUAAGUCCAAAGAUUUAUCGCCUGAGGAUGAGCCCGCGUAGGAUUAGCUAGUUGGUGUGGUAAGAGCGCACCAAGGCGACGAUCCUUAGCUGGUCUGAGAGGAUGAUCAGCCACACUGGGACUGAGGCACGGCCCAGACUCCUACGGGAGGCAGCAGUGGGGAAUAUUGGACAAUGGGCGCAAGCCUGAUCCAGCAAUGCCGCGUGAGUGAUGAAGGCCUUAGGGUUGUAAAGCUCUUUUACCCGUGAUGAUAAUGACAGUAGCGGGAGAAUAAGCCCCGGCUAACUCCGUGCCAGCCGCCGCGGUAA
rnacentral:rRNA from 1 species